rnacentral:rRNA from 1 species
UACGGAGGGUGCAAGCGUUAAUCGGAAUUACUGGGCGUAAAGCGCGUGUAGGUGGUUGGACAAGUUCGGUGUGAAAGCCUCCGGCUCAACCGGGGAAUGGCACGGAAGACUGUUCGGCUAGAGGCAGCUAGAGGGACGUAGAAUUCCGGGUGUAGCGGUGAAAUGUGUAGAGAUCCGGAGGAAUACCAGUGGCGCAAGCGGCGUCCUGGGGCUGACCUGACACUGAGACGCGAAGGCGUGGGGAGCGAACGGG